UACAAUACAAAACUAUUCUGCACAGAAUCGGAUGUAAAUUGUAUUUUCCUUCCACAGGAAGGAAACAAACUAAACAGACAAGCAAAAGGAUACUAAAGAUACCAUCUCCAAUUGGACCCAGGUCAGUAGUGCCUCCAGGCACCUGGCCAAAGUCAAUACAGGGGGUUUGGAAGAGGCAGAUAAUAUCAACGGCGGCUAACAAAUUCAACGCACAAAACAGAAUCCUGUUAGAACAGAUGGAGAAACUGAGACACAGGGAGAUUAAGCACUUCCCGAGGGCAUAACAGCGAAUGUUGGAGCUGGGAUGUGAACCCGAGCAGUCUGGCCGAAGAGUCUGAUGUAUUCACCACACAGGCCCCUGUCCCAGUCUCCAGACCCACACUCACACUAGCCAGUCCACAGCCAGGAUCAAGGAGAUAUGGUCGGCCGGGAGGUUGACUGCUUCGAGGAUGAUGGCCAGAGUGAGGACACCUCCAGCAGGGAUGCCCGCUGCCCCCACGCUGGACGCUGUGGCCGUGACCCUGAGGGAGAAGGUAGGAGGUUAGGCAGACGCCUCUGUUGUGGGAGAAGAUAGGGGUCAACUGGGGUCCGGGGGGUCCCAUCCAUAGCCCCCUGACACUCACAGGAUGGUGAUGAUCUUUACGAAGUCCAAGGACUGCUCGCUGAGCUGUGCAAUGAACACUGCAGCCACGCACUGGAAGAGCGCGGCACCGUCCAUGUUGACGGUGGCACCGAUGGGCAGGAUGAAACGGCUGAUGUGCUUGGCCACGCCAUUAUUCUCCUCCACGCACUUCAUCAUCAACGGCAGCGUGGCGGAACUACAAGGGAUGGGGGAGCUGAGUUAGGUCAACCUGCUGACUGGGCUCUGCCCACCCUCCAGGUCCCGCCCAGGAGAGGCCCCGAGAACCCCAUCCCAACCAGCCAAAGCCCCAUCCACCCCACCUAGUGGAUCCCCACCAAAGCCUGCCUAAGCAAAGCCCUGUCACCCAACCAGCCAAAGGCUGCCCACCCUCCAGGUCUGACCCGUACCACCAACCCAGCUGAAGCCCUGCCCACUCAGAGCCCACCCACACCACUUGCCCAGCCCCGCCCACCAGAUCCCGCCCAUACCACCUGUCCAGCCGAAGUCCCGCCCACCUCCCUAGCCUGUCCCUUGGUCCAAGGCCCUCCCAUCUAACCUACAUCCCCUUCUCUCCUACCAUGUCCAGACUCCACCCCCAGCCCUCACUUGCUAUAUCUAAGCUCUUUUCCCACAAGCAGGCAGCACUAGGGAACUCAAUACCAGGAUUACAAAAUCUAUGAGUCCUGGAACCUCUGGGAGAGUACAGACUACUACCUCCCAAAAUACCCAUACAAUUCACACCUAAAUUCUAAUGUUUGGGUCCUGCUGACUCUCACCAAUAAUACACUAAGAAUUCCUAUUGUCUUGGAAGGGGACAGGGCCAGCAGGGACGAAUGAAAUGCCCAGGAGAGAGGGUGGAAGGAGUUCUGAGGUUGAAUCAGAGCAGAAUUUAAGAGCCCCCCAGGGGCUGGGCAUGGCGGCUGUAAUCCCAGCACUUUGGGAGGCCGAGGUGGGCGGAUCACUUGAGGCCAGGAGUUGGAGACUAGCCUGGCCAACAUGGUGAAA